rnacentral:rRNA from 1 species
AGAGUUUGAUCCCGGCUCAGAUUGAACGCUGGCGGCAGGCCUAACACAUGCAAGUCGAGCGGUAACAGGGGUAGCUUGCUACCCGCUGACGAGCAACGGACGGGUGAGUAAUGCAUAGGAAUCUGCCCGGUAGUGGGGGAUAACCUGGGGAAACCCAGGCUAAUACCGCAUACGUCCUACGGGAGAAAGGGGGCUUCGGCUCCCGCUAUUGGAUGAGCCUAUGUCGGAUUAGCUAGUUGGUGAGGUAAUGGCUCACCAAGGCGACGAUCCGUAGCUGGUCUGAGAGGAUGAUCAGCCACAUCGGGACUGAGACACGGCCCGAACUCCUACGGGAGGCAGCAGUGGGGAAUAUUGGACAAUGGGCGCAAGCCUGAUCCAGCCAUGCCGCGUGUGUGAAGAAGGCCUUCGGGUUGUAAAGCACUUUCAGCGAGGAAGAACGCCUAGUGGUUAAUACCCAUUAGGAAAGACAUCACUCGCAGAAGAAGCACCGGCUAACUCCGUGCCAGCAGCCGCGGUAAUACGGAGGGUGCGAGCGUUAAUCGGAAUUACUGGGCGUAAAGCGCGCGUAGGUGGCUUGAUAAGCCGGUUGUGAAAGCCCCGGGCUCAACCUGGGAACGGCAUCCGGAACUGUCAAGCUAGAGUGCAGGAGAGGAAGGUAGAAUUCCCGGUGUAGCGGUGAAAUGCGUAGAGAUCGGGAGGAAUACCAGUGGCGAAGGCGGCCUUCUGGACUGACACUGACACUGAGGUGCGAAAGCGUGGGUAGCAAACAGGAUUAGAUUCCCUGGUACUCCACGCCGUAAACGAUGUCGACCAGCCGUUGGGUGCCUAGCGCACUUUGUGGCGAAGUUAACGCGAUAAGUCGACCGCCUGGGGAGUACGGCCGCAAGGUUAAAACUCAAAGGAAUUGACGG